GUCCUGGCAACCAGAUCCGUGUAUACUGUGGUAGUGGAUGCCCAUUACCCACAUGUGAAAUACCUAACCCACCAACUACAGUGUGCCCACAGUUUUGUCGCACUUGUAUUUGUCCCACCAAUACAGUAUUGAAAGGAGAUUAUUGCAUACCAUAUAACCAGUGUUUUUCCACCACUACAACACCACCGUCAACAGUUUGUCCUGGCAACCAGAUCGAAGUAGAGUGUGGUAGUGGAUGCCCAUUACCCACAUGUGAAAGACCUAUCCCUCCUACAAUAUGUAUACCAAUUUGUCGUACUUGUGUUUGUCCCAUCAAUACAGUAUGGGAUGGGAACUAUUGCAUACGAUAUAGCGAGUGUCCUUCUACUGCUACAACACAACCAGCAGUUGGUUAGAAGAUGACAUUUAGACAAUGGAUACUUAAGAGAACAACGUACAAACUUCCCUUUUUUUAUAUUUGGUGGUUGCUUGGUGUAAAUAAAAAAUUGCUUUAUAUCUGCUAGCUGUAUAAUACACCAGUUGCAGUGAAUUUUUAUUCACUAUAGGUUUAACACAACUUAAAUUUACUUGCAGUUUGGCAUAUUUUGUAUCAAAUAUUGAUUUGAAAAAACUUUAUUGUUUAUAUGCAAAUAAUUUCAUGCACACAGUUUAUGCAAGAAAAUAUUUCACACAAACCAAAUAAAGGAACCUGCGUAACAAUUUA